UUUCGUCCCCGAAAUUUACGUACCUGGUAUUUCAAAGAGUUGAGGAUACCUUGCUUUCAUUUCAGAUUCUAUCUCCCCGAUCAUCUCUUUUGUAUCAUGAUUUCUCCAUUGCUCAUUUCCUGUAUUUCAGAUAUCAUUCUAGAAUACAGCUUCAAAACAGAGGUUAACUGACAUAUCAUAAUUUGUCAACUAAUUAAGUAACAAAAAUCAGCUUAGGUAGGACACACACUAGUGAAGGAUUUUACUCGUCUCUCCCCUCCUAGUUCUAAUCCUGGAUCUCCGCCAGAGAUCAUAUCCCUAAGCUCUGAUACCAACUGUGACACCCCCAAAAUAGGUCCACACAACCCAUUCUGAGUCGCCAAAUACAUGGUACAAAAAAUAACUACAAACCUCAUUAUUACAAUUUUUGUGCAAAAUACGACAACAUAUAUAUUGUGAGUUUUAAUACAAAUAUAUGUAACUUUCAUGGUGCCUCGAUCACAAUACCUUACAAUGGUACUUUACAUAAAGGUACAGUCAAUAACUGUUUUAGAAAUUAAAAUUUUUGAAAAAUGCUCAAGAAAACCUUCGUACAUGGGAGGCCAUGCAUCUAAGUUAUAAUAGAUAUCAUAUGAUUUGAGAAUCAUCCUUGGUUGACCCAAUAGACCCCAAAGAAAAAGAAGAAGAUUGCUUUCAUGUUCUUUCCAAUGAUGAGUCUUCUUUUGCCAUAUAAUUAUCUCCAUUAUCUCCAAUUGAGAAUUAUAUAUCAACCAAACUCCAAGAUUAUAUAGGUAGUGCUCAUAGAUAUAAUCAGCAAGUGGAUGUGCACAACCUUGUCUUAUGAUAACGUGAAGUCGUAUGUCAAUAGACAUCUUGUAUGAUAGUGG
rnacentral:lncRNA from 1 species